GCAGCCGCGGUAAUACGGAGGAUGCGAGCGUUAUCCGGAAUUAUUGGGUUUAAAGGGUGCGUAGGCUGUUUGUUAAGUCAGGGGUGAAAUACCGCAGCUCAACUGUGGAAUUGCCUUUGAUACUAGCAGGCUUGAAUACUGUUGCCGUGGGAGGAAUGAGUAGUGUAGCGGUGAAAUGCAUAGAUAUUACUCAGAACACCGAUUGCGAAGGCAUCUCACGAAGCAGGCAUUGACGCUGAGGCACGAAAGCGUGGGGAUCAAACAGGAUUAGAUACCCC
rnacentral:rRNA from 1 species